ensembl:lncRNA
AUGUAUGUGCUGUGCACACUGGUGUUGCUGUCUCUCCACAACCUGUUUAGGAGACCCAGGGUCUUGGAACCCUCUGUACCCAAGGCUAUCGAGGGUCCUCCUGAGCAGCACAGACCAGAGGAAGCCAAACUGGGACGCAAGAAGAGGAACAAGCACACCUUGCAUGAAGGUUCUGGACCUCUAGAGUCAUCAGGAGCCCAUGACUUUGAAAGAUGCCUAGAUGGACCCAGUAGAGCAAGUAAAAGAAGAUCCGUUCACUUGGAUAAUGUGCACAAGAGGAAGAAGAGAGCACAGACACUGCAAGAGAGAGUCUGUGAGUUCCAGGCACGUUUGCGCAGUGAAGACUCUGCCAAAAGACUCCUGCUACAGCGACUGCAGACACACGACCACCAGCUCAACCAAGACAACCACCUGAACGAGGAACAUUCAUCCAUUAACCAAGAACCUCAAGAGCAGCUCAGACUGCAGGACAGCCAGCUCAACCAAGCUGUGUCACCUACAGGUGAGAGAGAGGAAAUGGUUCAGAUUGUAGAGACUAUAAUUGUAAAUUAAAUUAGUCAUUUUUCAUAUUAUUAUUAUUAUUAUAAAUUAUAUAAAUGUUAUAUUUAUAACAUUUGAAUCUUAUUUUUAUACAUUUAUUAGAAAUAUUAUGGAAUGUGUGUGUAUAUAUAUAUAUAUAUAUAUAUAUAUAUAUAUAUAUAUAUAUAUAUAUA